AAUAUUGGGACAUAUAAUAAAGACAACUCUGUUCCGCAGAGUAGCUAUUGACAUUAUAGUUGCGCAGGCACUUUGUUGACUCUAGAGAACCUUGGGCCAAUCGCACAUCCCCAUGACGGCGACUUUGCAUUUGGAUGUCAUCCAUAUCAACUUUCGAUGCCAGUUUCUGCGCCUACCAUGGUGACCACGGUUAACGGGGAAUCAGGGUUCCAUGCCAUACAAGGACCCUGAGAAACGGCUACCACAUGCAAGGAAGGCAGCAGGCGCGCAAGUGACCCACUCCCAACACGGGAAGGUAGUGA
rnacentral:rRNA from 1 species